rnacentral:rRNA from 1 species
AUUGAACGCUGGCGGCAGGCCUAACACAUGCAAGUCGAGCGUGAAAGUCCUUCGGGAGUGAGUAAAGACGGCGGACGGGUGGAGUAACGCGUAGGAAUCUACCUAAUAGUGGGGGAGUAACGUUUCGUAAAGGAACGCUAAUACCGCAUACGUUCUGAGGAAGAAAGACAGGGCGUCGCAAGACCUUGCGCUAUUAGAUAAGCCUGCGUCCGAUUAGCUAGUUGGUGGGGUAAAGGCCUACCAAGGCGACGAUCGGUAACUGGUCUGAGAGGAUGAUCAGUCACACUGGAACUGAGACACGGUCCAGACUCCUACGGGAGGCAGCAGUGGGGAAU